AGAACACACGAGAAACACGCAGCACCACUGACAAAUGCAGUUCCGGUCGAAUUUGAAGACUUCAAAACAAAAGUCCCUGCUUAAGCCAGCACAUUUCAGAUCAAGAAAAGCACUGAACGGAUCAGAUACAAAAUAAAGAAAGAUCAAACAGAGGAAUCCAGGUGGAUCCAGACCGUGACGAGACAUCUAGUAAAAUUACUUUAUACCCUCAUCAUUAUAUAUAGAUAUGUCUCAGGUCUCUCCUUUAUUAUGGUGAGUCAGUGCAUGUCUGCUAGGCAGAUGCCAUUGUCUGUCCUCUGUGCUGUGAAAAGGAGACAAAGGCAGAUUUGAGGGAUAGUUUGUCCUCUCCAGAUACUGCAGUCUCCAUUGUCAUCCAGACGCCAAUGGGGAAGCAAAGUACCAAACUGGUUCUGCAGGGUCUUUGUACUGCGCUGGAGACCUGCCAGUGUGGGCUGACUGAUAACCUGCACUUUGCUUCUACUGAUUGAUUAAUCAUAGAGAUGUUUGGUGCACUUCUUCUAAUCUAAUCUUCUAAUCUGGCCUGCUGGUUAGCUCUUUCUGAUCUGAUCUUUUUUGCUUGUGCAAAAGUCAUGUCAUAAUCCAUCUCCUGUAAGAGAAAGGAUGCAGGAAUAUAUUUUUAGAUCUCAGAAUAAAACCAUUUUACAGUGAAAAGAUUAGCUUUAAUCACCUUAUUCAAGUUGCUGAUUCAUGUAGCAGUAAUCUUGAAAUUCAUGGCAGUGAGUCAAUGUAGUGCAAUACUUAUUUCCCAGAAAACAGAGUGCUAUCAUCUUAGUCAUCUUAAGGGAGUCUCCCAGACCUUCCUUUCUUAAACAUUCACAAUCAUUAUGAUCUUUGAUGAUCUAAGGUUCAUUGUGUAAUAGUGUAUUUUAAUAAUUUAUGUGUUAUGUUCUAAUUAAGCAAUGAAGGUCACUUAUACAGUAAGUAAAGUCAUGCCAUAUCCUGGAUUUAGUGUUUAAAUUCCCAACAUACUGUAGCAUGGCUUUAUGCAGCCUAUUGCUCUUUACAUCGGUGACUAGAAUGGAAAAUAAAAAUCGGCUUUU